GAAGAAGGAUCCUUUGAUUCUGUGGUUGAUGGAUGUGAUGGAGUAUUUCAUACAGCAUCCCCAGUUGUGAUAAUAGUUGACGAUCCCCAGUUGGGAUUCUUCAAGAGUUUGGGAGGUGGGAGGAGUCCUAGAGGGAGAGCACUGUGCAGAGAGACCAACUUAGCUGGCUAAUGGAUUAUUCGGCUUCAGAGAAAUGCUUGGAUACAUCAGAACAUGAGAAAAUCUUUCAUUGACUUGUGUGCUAAUGUCUAUUCUCCCACAACUCUUUGAAUGCUUGUCACUGUAGAGUUCUUUAGGUUCCCUUAAAUGUAUAUACAUUCUUUUUUGGAUCAGAGAUCAAUAUGCCUUCCCGUCGGAGAGUGGUUUUGUGCUGGAGGAGGCACUGCCUGUGCUAUUUCUAGACUCCUGACUGUGGCCAGUCCACUCUGCACUUUUUUCAGUUUCCGGACACAACAUGUUAUACAAUUAACAUACCAGCUUCUAUGUGAUCGAAUUCAGCUCCACCUCAA